UCAUUCUUCCAAAUCUUAGCAAUGGCAGCGCACCGGAAGCUCGCUGUGAUUCUCGAGAAUCCUCAAAACGACGCCGAAUUCCUCCUCGUGAAACAGACGCGACCGCCGAAGUUCGACGACGAAGAGUACGACUCGUACGUCGAUUCCGAUCUCUGGGACUUGCCCUCCUCCCAAUUGAACCUUCUAGAAGGACAAUCGAAGCCCUCGAUUGCAGUGGCAGGCGCAGAAUCGUUGUCGGGGAAGAUCGAUUUGGAAAAAUUCGAUUUCGAUUCUGCUCUCAACCAGGUUCUGGAACAAGUAGGGUUUAAGGCAGCUGACGGUGGAGAUUGGAGGUUGUCCAAGUACGUGGAGGAAGGUCAGUUUGGACCCGGUCCGCCCAUUAACUCGGUGUUCAUUAGGGGAAAAUUGGUAGCACCGGAGCAAAAUUUACAAGAAUCGUGUAAAUGGAUGUCUGUCCCGAGUUGUCUAAGCUGGCUUGUUGAAGUGAAACCAAGCAGUGUUCGUGUGGGGCCAUUGAUAGUUGCAGGUCUUCUAAAUGAAUCUGAGCAAUCAAGAAAGAUGAACAUUCCGUCCACCUUACCUUACCAGGAGUACCCUCCUGGUGUUGUGCUUGUACCUAUGGGAAGCAGGACAGCAAAACCUUUUUAUACAACAAACCUGGUUGUUUUUGCACCCAAAAAUGCUUCAAAUGAAUCUGGGAAGAAUGAUUUUAUUGCUUGUGGAGAUGCAUUGAUAGUGGAUCCUGGGUGCCGGUCUGAAUUCCAUGAAGAGCUUGCACAAAUUGUAACUUCAUUGCCAAGAAAGUUAGUUGUCUUUGUUACGCAUCACCAUCAGGAUCAUGUGGAUGGUCUUUCAGUUAUUCAGUGUUGCAAUCCUGAUGCUACUUUAUUAGCACAUGUAAAUACCAUGCGACGCAUUGGAAAAGAUGACUGGUCUCUUGGGUUCACUGCAAUUUCUGGAACUGAAGAGAUUUGCAUUGGUGGUCAGCGAUUGAUUGCCCUUUUUUCUCCGGGGCAUACAGAUGGGCAUAUGGCACUGCUUCAUGCCAGUACUCACACAUUGAUUGUCGGUGAUCAUUGCGUGGGUCAAGGUAGUGCUAUACUGGAUGUUACUGCUGGGGGAAAUAUGACUGAUUACUUUGAAUCAACUUACAAAUUCAUGGAGCUUUCCCCACAUGCCUUGGUCCCCAUGCAUGGGAGAGUUAACCUGUGGCCAAAGCACUUGCUUUGUGGAUAUCUCAAGAACCGCAGAGCUAGAGAAAGUUCUGUCUUGAAAGCGAUAGAAAAUGGAGCAGAAACAUUGUUCGACAUAGUUGCCACUGUAUAUUCAGGAGGUUGAUCGUAGGAUUUUGGAUUCCUGCUGCAUCUAAUGUGAGGCUUCAUGUGGAUCAUCUUGCCCAGCAAGAUAAGUUACCAAAGGAAUUCUCGAUUCAGAGGUUUCAAAAAACUUGUAGGCUGCACUUCUUCUCUCGAUGGAUUGGGGCAUAUUUAAGUAGUGUUGUCAGGUUAAAUUGUUCGAGGCCAAGGAAAUCUCAGGUUCUUGUUGCCGGGGCGGUGGCUAGCUUUGCUGUUGUGUUGUACAUGUUUAAAAACAGGCUUAGUCCCAGAUAAGACUGUUUUAAAAUCUAUUUCUAGGAUAAGUCCCCAGGAACGCGCUGUACUUGUUUGUUAAUGUCAAAAUUGUACAACGCUUUCAUUGUUUGAUACCAGUGACAUUCGUUCAUCGAA